UUUUAAACCAUAAUAUACUCCUUUUGCUGAAAUUCUCUCCAAAAUCAUCAAGAACAAGUUAAGGGUUUAAUUGGGGGUUUCAAGAUUGAAGCCAAUAUCACCGCUAACCUUCACGAAUCAUCAACCUAAGGCUCAGAGACACGAGCUCCAGAUCAGCAGUAGCAAUAGCAUUAUAGUACCCAGAGUUGCAGUGAGUCCUCUUCAUUCGAGGACGAUAUGAUCAUUAUUUAUUUUACCAUUUCAGUUCAGUUUUCAGUUGAUGGAGUUGGUUGGGGACAUGUCACAUCAACUCCUUAUUUAGAGUAUUCAGACAGUUAGAGGCUUUCAGGCGACUACAGUAUUAUCUAAUUUCAAACUUUAGUAUUUCAAUAUUGUUUUGGUAUUGUGAUACUACCCUAUUCAGACGUUAUUAUGAUUCAGAUUAUGUUCAGUAUUGAACCUUAUGGCCUUUCAGUACAUGUUUCCGCAUUAUCAGGUUAUAUUAUGCAGCGUACGGGUACAGAUAUCAGACAUGGGUUAGCUUGUAGUCCCUCAGGGUCAUGGGCACCGUGUAGCAUUUCGGUUCAGAAAAUCAAGGCGUUACAAGCGGCUUAUCUGAGAUGAUAUUGCUGUGGUGGGAUAGGUUCAGGUGCUCAGUCCCAGACUCGACAAUGAUUUUCGAGCACAUUGAUCGACAUCUUCUGCAGUGGUUCAGGUGCUCAGUUCCAGACUCGACAAUGAUUUUUUAGCACAUUGAUCUACAUCUUCUGCCAUAGUGAGUCCUCGUGCUUCGAGGACUUAUGUUCAGAUACCUCAGUAUUUCAUCUGUGAAGUUGUCAAUUUUGAUUGAGUACGAGUCAGUUGGAGAUCUGUCCCAAUGGCUCUCUAGUUUAUUUGAGUAGUAGAGGCUUGUCAGACUAGAUCACCAGUUUGUCAGUUUUAUUGAGAUUUUAGUGUUGUGUUUUGUUCGAACGAAGUAUAUUUUCUUGACUUUUCUCAUAACUUUGAUAUGAGGAGUAACUUUUGUGGUUU